rnacentral:rRNA from 1 species
CUUCUACUCUCGACUAGCUCGUAGUUGGAUUUCGGAGGCUUUAUGGUCCGCCCCUUCGGGGAGCGGGUCACUGGCCUCCUAUGUUCCUAACGGACCUCAUCCGCGAGGGUGGGGAAUCAACCGCUAGGAUCGUUUACUUUGAGGAAAUUAGAGUGUUCAAAGCAGGCGUAACUCGCCUCCGAAUACGUUAGCAUGGGAUAAUGGAAUACGACUUCGGUCUUGUUUCGUUGGUUUCGCUUGGCUGAAGUAAUGAUUGAUAGGGACAGUUGGGGGCAUUAGUAUUUAGUUGUCAGAGGUGAAAUUCUAGGAUUUACUAAAGACUGACCAAUGCGAAAGCAUUUGCCAAGGAUGUUUUCAUUAAUCAAGAACGAAAGUAGGGGGAUCGAAGACGAUCAAAUACCGUCGUAGUCUCUACCGUAAACUAUGCCGACCAGGGAUCCGGAGAGUUUGCAUGGAUGACUCCCCGGGCACCUUGUGAGAAAUCAUAAGUGUUUGGGUUUUGGGGGGAGUAUGGUCGCAAGGCUGAAACUUAAAGGAAUUGACGGAAGGGCACCACCAGGAGUGGAACCUGCGGCUUAAUUUGACUCAACACGGGGAAACUUACGAGGUCAGGACACUGUGAGGAUUGACAGAUUGAU